CUGACGCUCGCAAUAUGGCUAUGUUACCAUGGCAAUGUCAGAAGUUAAGGUGCAAUCAUCAUAUUGCAGUUCUGAUUGUUUAUUUGUUUACAUAGAUUGUGGUGAAACAUCCUGAAUUAUGAUCCAUGAUUGUUGUGGGAUCUUGCGGAAAUGUUUAGUUUUAUUGUGAAAAGGUCACUUCCUGUGUAGCUUAAGCCGGAAGUUGUGAGCGGGAAUUGAGAAAGAGAUGACUGUCUACUACUGGCUAACCAGGCGUACACGUUUUCACGGUGUUCCUUAACCACGACGAAAGACAAUAAAAAGGUUGUGGACAUCA